rnacentral:tRNA from 1 species
GAUUAGAUGUCUGAAGUUAAGUGGUUGAUUGUAAAUCAAUUUAUGGGUGUUACCCUCUAUUCA